UACCGCGGUUACACGAAAAGCCCUAGCCGUUAGGCCCCGGCGCAAAGGGUGGUUAGAGAAUAUCCACAUAAAGUCAAACUUAACCCCCGCUGUGGUACGCAAGCUCGUAAGCAAAGACCUCGACGAAAGUAACUUUAUCCCGCUUGAAGCCACAAAAGCUAGGGUA
rnacentral:rRNA from 1 species